AUUGAACGCUGGCGGCAGGCCUAACACAUGCAAGUCGAGCGGAGCGGCGGACGGGUGAGUAAUGCCUAGGAAUCUGCCUGGUAGUGGGGGAUAACGUCCGGAAACGGGCGCUAAUACCGCAUACUACCAGAUGAGCCUUGGCAGGGUUUGCUAGGUGGUGGGGUGAAGGCCUACCAAGGCGACGAUCCGUAACUGGUCUGUGAGGAUGAUCAGUCACAGUGGAACUGAGACACGGUCAAGAAUCCUACGUGAGGCAGCAGUGGGGAAUAUUGGACAAUGGUCGAAAGCCUGGUCCAGCCAUGCCUAGUGUGUGAAGAAGGUCUUCGGAUUGUAAAGCACUUGAAGUUGGGAGGCGUUACCAACAGAAUAAGCACCGGCUAACUUCGUGCCAGCCGCCGCGGUAAUAC
rnacentral:rRNA from 1 species